UUCUGUAAAUUAUAUAAUUAAUUCUAUAGUAUUAUAGUAAUAGCAAUAGCAGUAUUCUAUGACAACGAUAAUGUAUUGAUUUUACAUUGUGUUUUUUUUUUUAUUAUUAAAAACUUCAUUCAACUUAUUUACAACUUCAGUAACUUUUCUGGUGGUAAAAUUAAUGAUUGGUUAGUAAUUUUAAAAAUCGUCAGGGAAAACAAAAAAAGUAAUACAGAUUUUAAAGAAGAGGUUUAUAAUACAAGUAGUCUAUACUGCAACAUUGAGAUGAAAAUGUGUUUCAAAAUAAGAUGAUGAUUAAGUCAUAUGUUACCUGAAAACAUAGUCAGCUUACACUACGAAACCAAAGGAAUAAAAACAAUCCCUUAUAGACCGAGACCAUACAUGGCGAAUUUCGCAGCAUUGUCAGUCAUGAUGAUGACUGCAGUACCUAGAACCCAUCUUAAUUUAAAGCAAUGUGUAAUGAGGAGUUUGCGGUUUUAUUGCUUUGGCGUUCGCCCCUUCGCCCGCCAAAACGCAAGCCGAUCGGUAUUUUCCGCCGCAGAUGAAAAACUCGGCGUAUUACAUCCGUUGUGAUGUUAAGUUAUACUCCGUUAAAAACCAAUGCAUUUUUAAUUCGACAGAAAACGACGUGGAAUUCGCCGUGUAUAGCUCUGGUCUUAGAUUAUGAAGAAAUUGCAGUGAGUAUAAGUACCUACUAAUACAAAUAUGAUUAACACGUGUAUCAACAAUGAUAUAUAUGUGUUGAAAUUUUUAAAAUUAAAAAAAAUUAUUUUAUCCUAUAA